rnacentral:snRNA from 1 species
UGACAGUUUUAUACGUUAACUUU